AUGCUGCACUGCCAGCACUGAGCAACAGUUAAGCCAAGGCUACCUCAAGAACUCAAGACACACAAGAAGUAAAGUAACUGUACUGAAUUCCAAAGACUGGGGUAGACCUCUUUCUUAAUGUCCAGUGUCCUUUGUCAUAAGAUGUGGUGCAAUAAGU